CUUCCCUUUUAUGUUUUUUUUUUUAUCAUUUCAUGAAUUGAUAUUACGUGUAUUCCUCUAUUUAUUUAAUUGACGCGUGUCCAUUACCAGGUUUUUGGUCAUUUGACUCAUUGGUUUGGCCUUUUAUACUUUUAUCCUUCGGUGCUUUUGUUUUAUUAAUAUAGUGCUCGGUUUUUAUGUAGUUUUCCCUUUUCCGCCCAACAUUCUCUGACGCAACUACUGUGCAUCAUGGCGAUUUUCGAUUUCUUGACUCUCGGUCUCUCUCUCCAUUCAUUCGCGUUGCUGGGUUUCUUGUUCUUCGUGGUGGUGGCUUUUCUCUCCUUCCUGUCCUGCAACUUUUCGAUAUGGAGUUUUCCCACCUUUCCGUUACUUACAAUGUUGAUGUAUUUUACUUUUGUUGAAUGUUGAUGUAAAAUGGCGUUUUUUUUUAUGUUACCCAGUUUCGCAGCUUCCGAGCUUACUAGCUUUGGUAGUUAUGUUCGUUACUUCUUGAGCAAUGGUUCCAGUUUUGGGUUUGAACGAGCUUAAUGCUAAGUGGGAAGCAUAGUGUUGGAUCACAUUUUACUCUUUCAAUUACCAAUUAUGUAAGUAUCGACUUGAACUUUUGUUUUCAACAUUUUAAGCAAAUUAUUUGCAUGUUUGAAUAUGUGUUGCUCAUAAUUUUUAAAGAUUAAACAGAUUAGCAAUUGCUUCCCUUUUGAACAGAACACUGGUAAGAACUAAUUUUUGGGUUCCUACACGCUUCUUUAUGAAUUCCUAUUAAGUUAUAAACCACUACCAUAUAUAUGUAAGCGGUUGAGUAAAUGCAUUUUUACUUGAGCGAUUCUAGUGAUGUCAUUUAUAGGAAUAACUCUACAAUUAACAUAGAUCAUAACGUAAAUACAUUGCCUUUCUCUCAGUUGUGUUUUUUAUUUUCUUAUUUAGUUUCUGAAUUUUUGUAUUAGUUGUAUUCUGUGACCAUUAAUUCUUAUUUUAGUUAAAAUUGUGAUUUUUUAGUUUAGUUACUGAUUAGUAUUAUUAAGAAUUGGUGCACUAUAUGUUGAUAAUUUAGGUUUUAUAUUUGAUUUUUCUUGACUUUAUAUUGUAUAUUUGUUCAAGUACUAUAGUUGUUACUAUUAAUUAUGAUUAGUUUAUAUUUUUUUUUCUUUUUCCAACUUAUAUAUUCAUUUUUUUGAUUUACAUAUAAAAUAUUAAAAUAGCAGAUAUCACACUGUCCUGCAUCUACUUUUUUGGGAAGGCCGAUCUACUAUUUGAUAAUGACAACCAUGACACUAAAGUAUUUUGUAUGCUAUAGUUAGUUGUGUAACUGACUUACAACUAACUGCCAAGAGAUAGUUGGGUUGCAGCUCACUGGACCCCAAAUUCAGGGGACAAGACUGUACUUCAGUAUGAUGAUGUGAUGAAACUGGAUUUUGGCACCCAUGUUGAUGGACUUGAGAGGGGCUUCUCUUGAUCAGCUAGAAGUUUGACAUUGAAAUUCAUUAAUUUGUCAACCGACUUUAAAUUCAUUAGCCCAGUGUCCUUCAAUGCUGGAAAAUCUGUUCCCAUUGUGAAAGGCGGGGAGCAGUUCAAAGAUGGAAGAGGGUGAAUUUUUUGCUAUUGAAACCUUUGCAUCAGCGGGAAAAGGAUAUGUACGAGAAGACCUGGAACACAGCCACUACAUGAAAAAAUUUGAUGUUGGUCAUAUCCCACUACGAUUGCCUAGAGAAAAACAACUGUUGGCAACUAUGAACAAGAACUUCUCUACUUUGGCCUUUUGUAG